UGAACCUGCGGAAGGAUCAUUAACCUUUCAAUCAGGGUGCGGCGCGGCCCCCGAGGAGCGGAAACAAUCCUUGGGAGGUAUGCGGGGGCUUCGAGCCCCCCAUUUACGCACGCACGACUGCCAUCCUUACUUUACGAGCACCUUCUGUUCUCCCUCGGCGGGGCAACCUGCCGUUGGAACCGAAUAAACUCUUUUUGCAUCUAGCAUUACCUGUUCCGAAACAAACAAUCGUUACAACUUUCAACAAUGGAUCUCUUGGCUCUGGCAUCGAUGAAGAACGCAGCGAAAUGCGAUAAGUAGUGUGAAUUGCAGAAUUCAGUGAAUCAUCGAAUCUUUGAACGCACAUUGCGCCCCUCGGUAUUCCGUGGGGCAUGCCUGUUCGAGCGUCAUCUACACCCUCAAGCUCUGCUUGGUGUUGGGCGUCUGUCCCGCCUCCGCGCGUGGACUCGCCCCAAAUUCAUUGGCAGCGGUCCUUGCCUCCUCUCGCGCAGCACAUUGCGCUUCUCGAGGGGCUACGGCUCGCGUCCAACAAGCACAUUUACCGUCUUUGACCUCGGAUCAGGUAGGGAUACCCCGCUGAACUUAAGCAUAU
rnacentral:rRNA from 1 species